rnacentral:rRNA from 1 species
UGAAACUGGGGGUCUUGAGGGCAGGAGAGGAAAGUAGAAUUCCUGGUGUAGCGGUGAAAUGCGUAGAAAUCAGGAGGAGUACCAGUGGCGAAGGCGGCUUCCUGGACUGCCCCUGACGCUG